UGUGAAUGUCAGUGGCAUGGAGAAAGGUGAAGUGGGAAGAAAGACAUGGCUUUGAAGGUGAUCGGUCAUUAGGCUCCCAACCGGGGGUUCAAAGACAAAUUAAUGCAGAGCAUUGUGCCGGCAUAGCUGUGUGAGGGAGACUCGGGCGGGAGGGGGCUCUAGGUGCGGUACGGGCGUAGAUGCGUGAGGGAGACUCGGGCGGGAGGGGGCUCUAGGUGCGGUACGGGCGUAGAUGCGUGAGGGAGACUCGGGCGGGAGGGGGUUCUAGGUGCGGUACGGGCGUAGAUGCGUGAGGGAGACUCGGGCGGGAGGGGGCUCUGGGUGCGGUACGGGCGUAGAUGCGUGAGGGAGACUCGGGCGGGAGGGGGCUCUGGGUGCGGUACGGGCGUAGAUGCGUGAGGGAGACUCGGGCGGGAGGGGGCUCUAGGUGCGGUACGGGCGUAGAUGCGUGAGGGAGACUCGGGCGGGAGGGGGCUCUGGGUGCGGUACGGGCGUAGAUGCGUGAGGGAGACUCGGGCGGGAGGGGGCUCUAGGUGCGGUACGGGCGUAGAUGCGUGAGGGAGACUCGGGCGGGAGGGGGCUCUAGGUGCGGUACGGGCGUAGAUGCGUGAGGGAGACUCGGGCGGGAGGGG